rnacentral:rRNA from 1 species
CCUACGGGGGGCACCAGUGGGGAAUAUUGCACAAUGGGCGCAAGCCUGAUGCAGCCAUGCCGCGUGUGUGAAGAAGGCCUUCGGGUUGUAAAGCACUUUCAGCGGGGAGGAAGGCGCUAAGGUUAAUAACCUUAGCGAUUGACGUUACCCGCAGAAGAAGCACCGGCUAACUCCGUGCCAGCAGCCGCGGUAAUACGGAGGGUGCAAGCGUUAAUCGGAAUUACUGGGCGUAAAGCGCACGCAGGCGGUCUGUCAAGUCGGAUGUGAAAUCCCCGGGCUCAACCUGGGAACUGCAUUCGAAACUGGCAGGCUUGAGUCUCGUAGAGGGGGGUAGAAUUCCAGGUGUAGCGGUGAAAUGCGUAGAGAUCUGGAGGAAUACCGGUGGCGAAGGCGGCCCCCUGGACGAAGACUGACGCUCAGGUGCGAAAGCGUGGGGAGCAAACAGGAUUAGAUACCGAGUAGUC